GGCAGGCUUAACACAUGCAAGUCGAGGGGUAACAUUGUAGCUUGCUACAGAUGACGACCGGCGCACGGGUGAGUAACGCGUAUGCAACCUACCUUUAACAGGGAGAUAGCCCGAAGAAAUUCGGAUUAAUAUCCCAUAAUAUCCUGACAACACAUGUUGACGGGAUUAAAACUCCGGUGGUUAAAGAUGGGCAUGCGUAGCAUUAGUUAGUUGGUAAGGUAACGGCUUACCAAGACAGUGAUGCUUAGGGGUUCUAAAAGGAAGGUCCCCCACACUGGUACUGAGACACGGACCAGACUCCUACGGGAGGCAGCAGUGAGGAAUAUUGGGCAAUGGGUGAGAACCUGACCCAGCCAUGCCGCGUGCAGGAUUACAGCCCUAUGGGUUUUAAACUGCUUUUAUACGGGAAGAAAAUGGGCUACGAGUAGUCUACUGCCGGUACCGUAUGAAUAAGCAUCGGCUAACUCCGUGCCAGCAGCCGCGGUAAUACGGAGGAUGCAAGCGUUAUCCGGAUUUAUUAGGUUUAAAGGGUGCGUAGGCUGAAAAUUAAGUCAGUGGUGAAAUCUUGUAGCUUAACUACAAAACUGCCAUAGAUACUGGUUUUCUUGAGUAUAGUUGAGGUAGGCGGAAUGUGUAGUGUAGCGGUGAAAUGCAUAGAUAUUACACAGAACACCAAUUGCGAAGGCAGCUUACUAAACUAUAACUGACGCUGAUGCACGAAAGCGUGGGUAGCGAACAGGAUUAGAUACCCUGGUAGUCCACGCCGUAACGAUGAUUACUC
rnacentral:rRNA from 1 species